UACGAAGGGGGCGAGCGUUGUUCGGAUUUACUGGGCGUAAAGGGCGCGUAGGCGGCAAUUCAAGUCAGUUGUGAAAUCUCCGAGCUUAACUCGGAACGGUCAACUGAUACUGUUUUUGCUAGAGUGCAGAAGGGGCAAUCGGAAUUCUUGGUGUAGCGGUGAAAUGCGUAGAUAUCAAGAGGAACACCUGAGGUGAAGACGGGUUGCUGGGCUGACACUGACGUGAGGCGCGAAAGCUAGGGUAGCAAACGGG
rnacentral:rRNA from 1 species